rnacentral:rRNA from 1 species
CCUACGGGGGGCAGCAGUGAGGAAUAUUGGUCAAUGGACGAGAGUCUGAACCAGCCAAGCAGCGUGAAGGAUGACUGUCCUAUGGAUUGUAAACUUCUUUUAUAUGGGAAUAAAACCGGGGAUGCAUACCCUCUUGUAUGUACCAUAUGAAUAAGCAUCGGCUAACUUCGUGCCAGCAGCCGCGGUAAUACGGAGGAUCCGAGCGUUAUCCGGAUUUAUUGGGUUUAAAGGGAGCGUAGGUGGUUUGUUAAGUCAGUUGUGAAAGUCUGCGGCUCAACCGUAAAAUUGCAGUUGAAACUGGCAGUCUGGAGUACAGUAGAGGUGGGCGGAAUGCGUGGUGUAGCGGUGAAAUGCUUAGAUAUCACGAAGAACUCCGAUUGCGAAGGCAGCUCACUGGA